AAUCUAUGGUAGGGACAUAUGUUAACCAAAUCUUUAAAUCUCUCUCAGCUUUCAUGAAAUGUCUCAUUAGCUCUUUGCAUGAAUCGAGUGAUCUGCUUCUGCUAAAAUU